AACGAACGCUGGCGGCAUGCUUAACACAUGCAAGUCGAACGCCCCGCACGGGCAGUGUCAGACGGGUGAGUAACGCGUGGGAACGUGCCCUUCGCUUCGGAAUAGCCCCGGGAAACUGGGAGUAAUACCGGAUACGCCGUAUGGUGUAAGAUUUAUCGGCGAAGGAUCGGCCCGCGUUGGAUUAGCUAGUUGGAGGUGUAAUGGAACCCCAAGGCUACGAUCCAUAGCUGGUCUGAGAGGAUGAUCAGCCACACUGGGACUGAGACACGGCCCAGACUCAUACGGGAGGCAGCAGUGGGGAAUCUUGGACCAUGGGCGCAAGCCUGAUCCAGCCAUGCCGCGUGGGUGAAGAAGGCCUUAGGGUUGGAAAACUCUUUCGCCGGGGAAGAUAAUGACGUUAUCCGGAGAGGAAGCCCCGGCUAACUUCGUGCCAGCCGCCGCCGUAA
rnacentral:rRNA from 1 species